GUGAAUCAUCGAAUUUUUGAACGCAAAUUGCACUCUCCUCGGAGAGUAUGCCUGUUUGAGGGUCAGCCUAUAAAAAAUCGACAUCGUUGCUGUUUCGCGGUGGCGUUCGUCGGAAAUUGGGUCAUCUUAAAUCCUUUUGGUUUUUAAGCGACUUAAAAUUUUCUUUACGAUUCCACGAACGUUUCUAAGAUUUACUUCUUACACGUUUAAGGUAUCGAUCUUUAUUAGACGUCGCCGUUGCAUCGCAUCACGCCCCUCCAUACUCCGUCAAC
rnacentral:misc_RNA from 1 species